UACCAGCACCCCGAGUGGUCGGGACGUUUAUUGGGCCUAAAGCAUCCGUAGCCGGUUCUACAAGUCUUCCGUUAAAUCCACCUGCUUAACAGAUGGGCUGCGGAGGAUACUAUGGAGCUAGGAGGCGGGAGAGGCAAGCGGUACUUAGUGGGUAGGGGUAAAAUCCGUUGAUCCAUUGAAGACCACCAGUGGCGAAGGCGGCUUGCCAGAACGCACUCGACGGUGAGGGAUGAAAGCUGGG
rnacentral:rRNA from 1 species